GGGGAAUUUUCCGCAAUGGGCGAAAGCCUGACGGAGCAAGACCGCGUGAGGGAGGAAGGCUCUUGGGUUGUAAACCUCUUUUAUUAGGGAAGAAGUUCUGACGGUACCUAAUGAAUCAGCAUCGGCUAACUCCGUGCCAGCAGCCGCGGUAAUACGGGGGAUGCAAGCGUUAUCCGGAAUUAUUGGGCGUAAAGCGUCCGCAGGUGGCCUUUCAAGUCUGCUGUUAAAAACCAGGGCUUAACCCUGGGUCGGCGGUGGAAACUGAAAAGCUAGAGUCCGGUAGGGGUAGAGGGAAUUUCCAGUGUAGCGGUGAAAUGCGUAGAUAUUGGAAAGAACACCAGUGGCGAAGGCGCUCUACUAGGCCGGUACUGACGCUCAGGGACGAAAGCUAGGGGAGCGAAAGGGAUUAGAUACCCCUGUAGUCCUAGCUGUAAACGAUGGAUACUAGGCGUAGUCUGUAUCGACCCGGACUGUGCCGAAGCUAACGCGUUAAGUAUCCCGCCUGGGGAGUACGCACGCAAGUGUGAAACUCAAAGGAAUUGACGGGGGCCCGCACAAGCGGUGGAGUAUGUGGUUUAAUUCGAUGCAACGCGAAGAACCUUACCAGGACUUGACAUGUCGCGAAUCUCGGUGAAAGCUGAGAGUGCCUUCGGGAGCGCGAACACAGGUGGUGCAUGGCUGUCGUCAGCUCGUGUCGUGAGAUGUUGGGUUAAGUCCCGCAACGAGCGCAACCCUCGUUUUUAGUUGCCAUCAUUAAGUUGGGCACUCCAGAGAGACUGCCGGUGACAAACCGGAGGAGGGUGGGGAUGACGUCAAGUCAGCAUGCCCCUUACGUUCUGGGCUACACACGUACUACAAUGGUCGGGACAACGGGCAGCAAACUCGCGAGAGUAAGCGAAUCUCAUCAAACCCGGCCUCAGUUCAGAUUGCAGGCUGCAACUCGCCUGCAUGAAGGAGGAAUCGCUAGUAAUCGUCGGUCAGCAUACGGCGGUGAACUCGUUCCCGGGCCUUGUACACACCGCCCGUCACACCAUGGAAGCUGGCCACGCCCGAAGUCGUUACCCUAACCCGUAAGGGAGGGGGAUGCCUAAGGCAGGGCUAGUGACUGGGGUGAAGUCGUAACAAGGUAGCCGUACCGGAAGGUGUGGCUGGAUCACCUCCU
rnacentral:rRNA from 1 species